UAGUCCACGCCGUAAACGAUGGAUGCUCGGUGCUGCACCGCUUUUAGGUGCAGUGCCUAAGCUAACGCGUUAAGCAUCCCACCUGGGGAGUACGAUCGCAAGGUUGAAACUCAAAGGAAUUGACGGGGGCCCGCACAAGCGGUGGAGCAUGUGGAUUAAUUCGAUGCAACGCGAGGAACCUUACCUGGGCUUAAAUGCAUAAUGACAGACUGGGAAACCAGUCCUUCUUCGGACAGAAUGCAAGGUGCUGCAUGGCUGUCGUCAGCUCGUGCUGUGAGGUGUCGGGUUAAGUCCCAUAACGAGCGCAACCCCUAUUUCUAGUUGCCAGCACAUAAUGGUGGGGACUCUAGAAAAACUGCCCGCGCAAGCGGUGAGGAAGGUGGGGACGACGUCAAGUCAUCACGGCCCUUACGUCCAGGGCUACACACGUGCUACAAUGGUAGAGACAGAGGGCAGCCACCUGGUGACAGGGAGCUAAUCCUUAAACUCUAU
rnacentral:rRNA from 1 species